AAGAGCCUUUUCCUUCAGACCUCCCUCCUGCCUUUGCUGCUGAGAGGAAUAUACAGGGAAUGACCUGUUGUUCCAAGAGGGGCAAAAAUACUUUAUCAGCCGUAAGACUGGUUGCUUUUCUUCUGGUCACCCUCUCCUAUCUCACAACCCCUUUUUGUUCCUCAGGGGAAGGACGGAGCAUUGCCUGCUCUCUCCAGAACUUAACCUACUUUGCUGGAAGAAAGAAGCAGGAGGGGUAUCGAAUCCCAGCAGCGAUUUCCCACAGGCAGAGUGUGAAGACUGAUGUGUUUCACCCUAACACAAAUCCAGCUCCAACAGAUUUAUGAUUAAACUCUAAAAAUUGGCAAUACCAGAAGGAAUUAGUAUUGUAGAAGAUCUUCCAGUCAGAGGGGUUUUGGAUUAGAAGGGCAGGGAGCCUCACCAAGAGACAGAUUCAUCCCGGUUGGACAUUGCUUUCUGCCUCUGUGAACUGAGAAAGUGUGACUGAAAGAUGAUAAGAGCAUGGUCAUGGCGGGGGGUUGGACUAGGUGACCUUUGAAGGUCCCUUCCAACCUAAACUGUUCUAUGAUUCUGUGAUUUUAAGAGCACUAUAAGCCAUCAAGCCUGAGACCUUCCUGCUGAUAUCAAACUUUUGCAGAGGGAUGCUAAGGAAACUACUCACAGGAAGAAAACUAGAUGCAUCCUGUCAUGCUCUGUCAAUGGCACCAUCUCGUUCCUUAACCUCCAGAAAGCAAGUCUACCCUCUGCACUGGGCACAGGCUGCUUGCAACAGCAGCUACUGGCAGGAAGCACAGAGGAACCUUGUCAGCAAAUUAGGUGCUGAUUACAUUCAGAUGAACCUUCUCCAGACCUUCACUGUGACCACAUCAAGACCUAACAAGGUGAUUACAUCCCUCUAAGGCUGUCUUUCCAGAUUUGCAUCUGGAAGGGGCAUCUUGAAAACAAUACAAACAAAAGCAGAAACAAGAAAAAUGACUGAUGCUAAAAUCUGGAUGAAAUUUUGAAGCUGAGGACUGAGAGAGAAAACGGAACAAAAGAUUAGGUCUGUUGGUAGGAGAACACUAAGAAAAAGGUGGGACAUGGGUGCAUGAAGGACAUGUGUGAGGAAGCAGGAGGGAUUGGCUGUAGUUGAGUAGGACUUGAAAGUAGCAGGCACGAGGCAGGAUCCUCAGCCUGUUUGCAUUGGCAUUGCUGCUUUGCCUCACCACAGCGGUACAAUUUACACCAGCUGAUGAUCUGGCCCCAUAGCUGCAAGUCUGAGGAUAGACCAUAUUCAUCCCACGGCUAUAAACCUUCCCCACCCUAGGAAAACAGGCAGCGUAAUCUGGUUCCUGGGCUUGCUGGAGCCAAGUGGAAAAGGUGCCAAACACCUGAAGAUCCCAUAUGUGAGGCUCUUUAUUUGGGUGGGGGAAGACAAUAAAACAAUUUUACUGCCAAAUAAGUGUCCCUGAUGCCUUCCUAUAGAGAAACAAUGACAUCCAGUGGUGAGUUACAUUAAUCACGGGGGCUUUACAUUAAGUCAAUCCCAAGAAAUCACAGCUCAUACCUGUUCCAGGGAAGGGGUCUGUUGCUCUAUCCAUUACCCACAGGCAGUGCUAUUCCAGCCCUUGGAGACUUUAGGACUGUCCUUGCUGCUUUCUUUUCUGUUAAGCCAAGUGCCUCUGCGUUUUUCUUUCAGCUGCAAUUCUGAAGUCCAGCUUUAAGUGCUCAAAGUCUAACAGAGGCUUGAUAGCUUCAAAGAGAAACAUCUCCACGUGAUACCAGUAUUAUCUUCCUGAGCAACUGAAGGCUUCUAAGCUGGCUAGGUGAAAUAGAGUUUGCAGUGCCAGCAGAGCAACUUAUUGCCUGGCACUGUCCUCCCCAUGCCAGUGGGGACUGUCUAUGCCCCUGGCCUGGGCACAGACUGACAAGCAGCUCCUGGCUAGAAGAUAGAGGGAAAAGGUGAUUAAGGGUACAGUAUCUCAAAAAACCUUAAGAUGAUCUGAUAUUUGCACAGCAUUUUCCUCCCCUUCUCCCCAACCCCAGAAGAGGUCGAUGCCCAUCUGGAGCACGAUGAACAGUCACAGGCUGGAGACAUCACAAAACUGCAUGUUUAUGCUGUUUUGUCCACAUCCCCAGUGGAGGCAGACGACCUUUGAUUUGCUGCUUUUAUCCUGCUUCAGCUUGUCUCCCACUGCUACUUCAGGGACUAACACC